UGAAUUUAAUCACCAUGCAUACACAGUCACAGAUGAACUGUAAAAAUUUUUCUGGUUAGAAAAAUGAUACCACUAAUCAUCUGAUACUAAUUUCAGAAUCCUGUUCUUCUGUUGGGCGGUUCUGUUCUCCAUUGAGGCUGGAGUGAACAAUGGAGAACUGCAAGUGGCUAAUGCAUCACAUCACACAAAAGGUCAGUACGGGACGCUUCGAGCCUCAGCAAGUCCUACUGUCCUGUAGAGAGGGAAAGUCCGGCAGCAUUCCUCUGAGCCAGAAAGGAAACCUAGAAGAUGAUUAAAGUUUGGGUUUUUUCGGGCUAUGUGUAUCGAGAAGGAGCCUAGUGUCUACAUGGAGAAACCUGGUUCCGAGGACAGAUCCCGUCCUUCCUGGGACCCAACGGAGGCGGGAAAAGCAGCACCAUCUCCAUCCUGACGGUCUGUUCCCUCUGACCUCUGGUACUGUCUACAUCCUGGGCAGAGACAUCUUGACGCACCUGGGCGCCAUCAGACAGUCUAGGAGUCUGUCCUCAACCCAACGUCCUCUUCAGCAUUCCUUAGAGAUGGACAGUGGACCGUGGAGAGAGGACUUCUGGUUCUCAGGCGUCGUGGUGUACCACUGACACGUCGCGACCAUCCCUGACCUGCCGGCAGCACACCUGGCUGCAAACAACAGACACUUGCAGGAGGUGUUUGAGAGGGGAAGUCAGGCACUGCAGCCAAAAGCUCAGAUUAAAGAAGAAAUUAAAUAACUCAGAUUGCUGACUUAAGUCUACAGGGGGCAAUUCUGAUCACAAAGUUGGGUGUUCUGCGUCAGAUGGAAAGAGAUGUGCUGCCACCACCCCCCCCACACACCACCUUUUUUGUUUAAAUUUAAAAUAAAAUGUAUUAAUGAGUUUGUGUGUAUCUGUGUUUAAAAGUUUAUUUGCACACAAGUAUCGUGAUCAGUUUUUGGGCUGUCGGCUGUGUCUGAUAAUGAGUUACUGCGGAAACUGUUAGUGGCAAGACAGGCGGUGCAGGAUAGAUGAGAGAGUAGCUAAAGGACAUUGACAAAACAAACAUGGAUACAAAACUGAAAGCUAAAAGGGAGAAGGAUAGCAGAGGAUUUAACUAGGAGUAAUAGUCCCAACCAUCCACUUGUUUUCGCUCGACGC